ACAAAUUCAAGCUCGUCCUACAAAGACCUAGUAUGAUCACUUAUCCCACAAUAUUUCUCAGCAAGGCACUAGUAUUUGAGCCAAAAUUUCCACCACUUGACCAAAAAGACUAAAAUAGCUCCACACCUGUUGUACCUCCUCCUGCUGUGUAAUAACCCUUUGCUCCCUGCAGUUUUGCUUCUUAAACACUCGACUCAGGAUCAGUAAAACCUGUUAUUUUUGUUUAUUUAUGUUUCUGAGGAAGGUAAGACUGCUUUGGCAAAUUAUUGCCAUUAUGUGUGAAUGAAGGCCACAUGGUUUAUAAACUGUAGAGCAAGACACUGAAAGUGCACAGGGAAUAGAUGGAGUCCCAUCCUCAACCUACUUGCCACCAGGUGGGACACAUGGGAUGGAGCUCAGGGCCGUGUAAUGGGUCAUGAUGCUCUUCCAACGAAGAAUAUGGCAUGGUUUGUUAAGAAUGCAGUUCUAUUCCAUACUUUUUCUGAUUCUUUUCUGGCUCAGCAGUUAACACGUGUGGUAAGGGGCUGCUGAAGUUCUUUGGAUAAAAUAGGUAAAACUGCUAUUGAGUAAAGGUUUUAUUCUUGCCUGAAUUAUCCAUAUAGGGUUCUUAAAUUGAUCAAGUUAAUAUAAUAUUAUGUUUGUUACCUAGUAAGUUUGCAUUUUAGCAACAAUCUUAGUGAAUAAAAGAAAGGAUCAGACUGCCUGCCAGUUGCCUGCAUCAUGAAAAAUGCUCAUGUGAGGCUCCUUAAAGCUGGUAGAGGUCAGAGAGAGAGGUCGGACUGGGAACUUUGUAUCCCAGUCUAUGGGAAGAUAGCUGAGGAAAUGGUUGUUAAGCAGCAGUGGUUCCAUCCCAUGGGAUUCCCAAUUGACAUCAACUACCUCCUCUUAGUCAAGUUAUGGGUAAGGUGGAUGGGGGCAGGAUAUAGAUAGAAUGGGUUGCUAUGAUGCAGGGAGUGAAAUCAGUGUUUGCACACCUAGGUAUUGGAUUUGGAUAUCUCAAAAGCUGUGUUCUUCAAAGACUGGCCUUUCUGAGCUUGAAGAAAUCUGGAGUAUACCAGAUCCUAAAGACUUGGGAGGAAGAGACGCAAUAAUUACUCCCCCUGCAGUCAUGGUGGCUUUGAGAAAAAUCUGAACAGAGCAUUUAUAGUCAGAAGAAAGUCUCACUAUGCCAUUGGCCAUCUAGUGGUGAGAGGGAGUGAUCACACACACACAAAAGACUUGCCUCAUUCAUAUAACAUCAGUAAAAACCCUCCUAAAUUCUAAAGGCAGGCAAAGUUAAUAUCAUUUUAGGAUUAUAU
rnacentral:lncRNA from 1 species